rnacentral:rRNA from 1 species
UGGUGGAGUGAUUUGUCUGCUUAAUUGCGAUAACGAACGAGACCUUAACCUGCUAAAUAGCCCGUAUUGCCUUGGCAGUACGCUGGCUUCUUAGAGGGACUAUCCGCUCAAGCGGAUGGAAGUUUGAGGCAAUAACA